GACAUCUGAAUUUCCUCAUCACACCCCAAGGCCUGAGAAUAUAGCGUGUAUCAAAAUAGCUAAGCAAACAGUGAAUCUCUAGAUUGGUUACAUACUCAGAGCUCUGAAUCUUGGUUAAAACUAAAGCCUUCACCUUGAAUCGUUGUUUCCGCUUAAAUUCAAGUUUUGAAAUGUGGACAGGGUUUUCAGAGAUCUGCGUUCUUCUGGUUCUCAUUCCUUCUGAUGUUUGACAUGGCAAUGAUCAUUAUUGGGUGGUCAUUAAAAUUUUAUAUUUUGCCUCCAC
rnacentral:misc_RNA from 1 species